UUGAAAAUUUGAAUCAAGGCUGGCCUGGCUAGCCGGCUGGCUGUAUGCAUGCAACGCGAACAAGGCUAAAAAGGUAACUUUUAGAUCGUGUGUUCUUGCCCAGCUACUUUGAAGAAUGUAGCUUUUUCCAGCUAAUGUCGGCGCUUUUUGGAACUGAUUCCAUCAUGCCAGUGAUAGACACCUGGAGAGAGAGACUGGUGAUAUCGCAGCGGAAUUUGAAUCGAAAUUGAUAAUUUGUAGAGCUGUAGAGAGUGUGUUCGCUCUCCAGUCAGCAGCGAGAGGGCAGCUGGCGCUCAGUCGCCAAGGCUACUGGAAUUCAUCAUCUUGCUUCAUCCAAUGACUGUUUCUAAUCCUCUCUCCCACUACCCUUGCGGUGGCUUCAAUGUGAUAUUCUGCACUCCAAUCCGGAAAGCUUCACAACGGAUGCGGACCAUGUAACCUUAUCACGGUAAUAAUUAUUUACCAACAGUCAAGUUAUGUUAUUCAAGGCAGUUCUUGCUCAGAUCAAGUCAACUCUACAAAUAAUAGGAUUGAUGCUGGACUCGGACUCAUGUUGGGAGCCUGAUAUGCUCGGACUGCUGCCACUGUGCUCCUCCAGCUGCCUCUAGUGUUGCUGGCUUCGCUGCUGCUGGUGCUGUUUCUGCGAUUGCUGAGGCUUCAUACGCGGCUUCUGGCCAUAGUGGGUAAUUCAUGAAGUUAGCCGCAUGACCAGUGCUUCAAAGCUCAGUGUUAAGUCUCGGUAUGCACUGGGAAUGCUGGCCGGUCCUCCGGCUUGAUUGACAAAGUAGCGACAUGCUGCACGUAGGUAGGGUGGCACGGCUACAGGAAGCAUACUGGUGUCCAGGUAGACGGGGAUAAUGUUCUUCACACGAUGCUUAUCGGUUUUCAGACCGUCAAUUAUGCGGCACUCGUGUGCUGCUAGGGGGUCAAGAUCAUCAAGAUCAGAUGCUGAAUAUCCAUGUGUCUGCACCGGGGUCGGGUGGGCAUCAUCAUUGCAGACUCGUACAGUAGAUUCAGUUUGACAUGCAUACGGGGAAAGCUGCCUUUCUUCCUUGUAGCGCUGUAGCAAGAGUAGCUUCUGCAUACGUUCCUUGUUGGAUCUCUCCACAUGUGCUAGAUCUUGGCCAUUGCAGGUUACGGGGACGUUAGCUGUACUGAAGUAAUCUACCUGGUCGAUGAUCUGCUGUUGCUGAUGGAGAGUGUCGUUGAUUUGAUGAGGAGCACUGAAUGGUACCCCAACACUUGAUUUCUGCUGCUGAUGUUGCUUGAGGUGCUGUUGUUGCUGGUAGAGUUGCAGUUGGCAUUCCCCUUGGUACUGCUGCUCAUUUAUCUGCUGUUGCUGGAGUUGCUCUUGACGACAUUGCUGCUGCUGCUGCUGUUUAUUGUGCAGGUGAGCCAGCUUUGGACGAUCUGAACAGCAGUGUGGAUAAUAGCUAGAUAUUACAACGAGGAUAUGCCGACUUAGCUCCAUUUGACCUUCAAUCCACCCAGUGACAUUUUGACAGUAUGUCUCAUCAUGCUGGUUGAACUCAAAGCUUGCGAUGUUGACGUUCAGUCCUCUUUCUUGGAGUUGCCUUGCUAGCCUUUCUGCUCUUUCCAAGUUUGAGUCUGGAUAACGAGCAAAGCUGAUAUACACACUGUGCUCUGGCAAUGAUAGAGCUGGCGCUGGUGCUGGUGGUUUCGUGGCUAAUCGAAAACGUUCGUCAAUCUGUACUGAGGUUUCCAAGUACUCCUGACUUCCUGUAAAUUGAUUGUAAUAAUGCAAGGAAAUGAGUAAAACAGAAACAAAUGCCAAUGCAGCUCUCAGUUGGGGACAUUGCAAUCAUGUAAUGUAUGUUUACAUCCCUCCUCCCCUGCCCUUACAAACGGCGUUGUUUCUAUUCCUGCACUGCGCCGUUGUUUCUAUUCCUGCACUGCGCCGUUGUUUCUAUUCCUGCACUGCGCCGUUGUUUCUAUUCCUGCACUGCGCCGUUGUUUCUAUUCCUGCACUGCGCCGUUGUUUCUAUUCCUGCACUGCGCCGUUAGUAUAGUACUAUUGUAAUUUCACUAAUUUUCCGUGUACUUUGAUUUUCGGUACUUUCGGUGCGUCUGUUUCAUACCUCAAAUUUCAAUACACCGAACAAACACUAACACACAUAAUCCAAUAGGAACUGCUUCUCUGUACCGAAAAUUUCUGUUCACCUAACCUGGCCUUUUGCCCUCAUACCGAAAAUAUUGAGCACCGAAAAUUUCUGAAAUUAGAGUA